UACGAAGGGGGCUAGCGUUGCUCGGAAUGACUGGGCGUAAAGGGCGCGUAGGCGGAUGGCACAGUCAGAUGUGAAAUUCCCGGGCUUAACCUGGGGGCUGCAUUUGAUACGUGUUGUCUUGAGUUCGGAAGAGGGUCGUGGAAUUCCCAGUGUAGAGGUGAAAUUCGUAGAUAUUGGGAAGAACACCGGUGGCGAAGGCGGCGACCUGGUCCGAUACUGACGCUGAGGCACGAAAGCGUGGGGAGCAAACAGG
rnacentral:rRNA from 1 species